rnacentral:rRNA from 1 species
CCUACGGGGGGCAGCAGUGGGGAAUAUUGCACAAUGGGCGCGAGCCUGAUGCAGCCAUGCCGCGUGUGUGAAGAAGGCCUUCGGGUUGUAAAGCACUUUCAGCGGGGAGGAAGGCGGUGAGGUUAAUAACCUCAUCGAUUGACGUUACCCGCAGAGGAAGCACCGGCUAACUCCGUGCCAGCAGCCGCGGUAAUACGGAGGGUGCAAGCGUUAAUCGGAAUUACUGGGCGUAAAGCGCACGCAGGCGGUCUGUCAAGUCGGAUGUGAAAUCCCCGGGCUCAACCUGGGAACUGCAUUCGAAACUGGCAGGCUAGAGGCUUGUAGAGGGGGGUAGAAUUCCAGGGGUAGCGGUGAAAUGCGUAGGGAUCUGGAGGAAUACCGGUGGCGAAGGCGGCCCCCUGGACAAAGACUGACGCUCAGGUGCGAAAGCGUGGGGAGCAAACAGGAUUAGAUACCCGGGUAGUC